CAAGUCGAGCGCGAAUGGAGCAAUCCUAGUAGAGCGGCGCACGGGUGCGUAACACGUGGAUAAUCUGCCUAAAAGACCGGAAUAACCUGCCGAAAGGCUGGCUAAUGCCGGAUAAGCCCACGGGCUCUUCGGAGCCAGAGGGAAAAGGUGGCCUCUGUAUACAAGCUAUCACUUUUAGAUGAGUCCGCGGCCCAUCAGCUAAUUGGCGGGGUAAUGGCCCACCAAGGCAACGACGGGUAGCUGGUCUGAGAGGACGAUCAGCCACACUGGAACUGAGACACGGUCCAGACUCCUACGGGAGGCAGCAGUGGGGAAUUUUGCACAAUGGGCGAAAGCCUGAUGCAGCAACGCCGCGUGUGUGAUGAAGGUCUUCGGAUCGUAAAGCACUUUCGACCGGGAUGAAAACCCGUUGGCUAACAUCCAACGGUUUGACCGUACCGGGAGAAGAAGCACCGGCUAACUCUGUGCCAGCAGCCGCGGUAAUACAGAGGGUGCAAGCGUUGUUCGGAAUUAUUGGGCGUAAAGCGCGUGUAGGCGGCUUUGCAAGUCGGGUGUGAAAGCCCUCAGCUCAACUGAGGAAGUGCGCCCGAAACUGCAGAGCUUGAGUACCGGAGAGGAUGGUGGAAUUCCCCAAGUAGAGGUGAAAUUCGUGGAUAUGGGGAGGAACACCGGUGGCGAAGGCGACCAUCUGGACGGAUACUGACGCUGAGACGCGAAAGCGUGGGUAGCAAACAGGAUUAGAUACCCUGGUAGUCCACGCCGUAAACGAUGAGAACUAGGUGUCGUGGGUGUUGACCCCCGCGGUGCCGUAGCUAACGCAUUAAGUUCUCCGCCUGGGAA
rnacentral:rRNA from 1 species